rnacentral:rRNA from 1 species
CCUACGGGAGGCAGCAGUGAGGAAUAUUGGUCAAUGGACGAGAGUCUGAACCAGCCAAGUAGCGUGAAGGAUGACUGCCCUAUGGGUUGUAAACUUCUUUUAUAAAGGAAUAAAACGAGGCACGUGUGCCUUUUUGCAUGUACUUUAUGAAUAAGGAUCGGCUAACUCCGUGCCAGCAGCCGCGGUAAUACGGAGGAUCCGAGCGUUAUCCGGAUUUAUUGGGUUUAAAGGGAGCGUAGAUGGGUUGUUAAGUCAGUGGUGAAAGUUUGCGGCUCAACCGUAAAAUUGCAAUUGAUACUGGCAUUCUUGAGUACAGUUGAGGUAGGCGGAAUUCGUGGUGUAGCGGUGAAAUGCUUAGAUAUCACGAAGAACCCCGAUUGCGAAGGCAGCUUACUAAACUGUGACUGACAUUGAUGCUCGAAAGUGUGGGUAUCAAACAGGAUUAGAUACCCCUGUAGUC